ncrna:Homo sapiens (human) microRNA hsa-mir-132 precursor
CUCCAGGGCAACCGUGGCUUUCGAUUGUUACUGUGGGAACUGGAGGUAACAGUCUACAGCCAUGGUCGCCCCGCAGCA